ACCAUGGAAAAUGUUUGUUGAAUCAUGUAAGCGAUUAAGGCUGAUGAAAAGCUCAGAGGCAAAUGGAUUAGCUCCAAGGACACCAUCAAAAUGCUCAAGCACAAGUGGCUAAAGGCUUGGAAUGAAGGAAACAAGUGGUGUACAGUAGAGAGGCUUUUGUCUUCAGUUUCUUUUAUAUAACACAGAGUUGUUUUAGGUUGGAGAGUUUUGAUUUAGAAAAAGAGAAAUAAGAGAGGCCUUCCUAUAAUUUCCUCUACGUUGUAGUAUGGCUCUAGUGCAAUUUAAUGUUGUGGGCUUUUCUCUCCAUUUUCGGCCUUUUUUACCCCACUUGCUGAUAACCUUUUGUUUUGGGAUCUUCUGCCCUUUGGAUAUAUAUAUAUAUAUGUUCUCUCGGUUGACAUGAUAUUCUGUUAGCCAAGAUUGUAUUGGGAAUUGGGGAUCUUUUCAUGCACAUAAUAGGCCGGGGUAUGAAACGGUUUCAAUUCGAG
rnacentral:misc_RNA from 1 species